UAAACAGAUCACAAUCUAAACUUCAUGCUUUAUAAUACUGUUUUCAAAGCUAACUUCAACAAACGUAAAUUGGGUAAUUUUUUCUUCUUUUUUUUUAUUAAAUCCAGAGCACAAUAUAAACAGAUCAUUCAAAAAAAUACAAAAACCAUUUCCAAUUGAAAACUUCAACAACAGAUUUACAUGCAAUUGCAAAGCCAAAUAAAAGGAAAUAUGGAAAUAUAUAUUAUGCUUUUUCUGUUAAUGAACUAGUAGCCUGAACCAUAAUGAUGAGUGUAAUGGCCCAAUAUUGCCCGGCCCAAUAGAUAAAAAAAAUCAAAUACCAAAGUUUAUUAAACAGUCCAAUUAACAGAAGCCCAAAUUCAAACCUAAGCAUGGCCCAAAUUACAAACCCAUUAUAGCCCAAAUCCCCAACCCGAUUGCAGAAACCCUAGCAACUUGCAGCAAGCCAUCGCCGCCGCUCUUCAUGCACACAGCAGCCACUGCCCUCACACACGAGCCUCACAUGCACCACCAUCACGCAAGCCUCCGUACGCGCCGCGCCACGUCACCGUACGAACGUACCUGCAAACAGAGCAAACAACACAGCAGAGACAAAGAAAAACAUUGUAUUUCUGUUUUUUUUAUUCGGCUAUAAAAAGAGCCAACGAAAUCUGUAAAAAGGGCCUCCUUUUUUUACACACGAUCAAUACAAAGAAAAAAGGUUUUCUUUUUCCUCUUUUCCAUUCUUUUUCGAUUGUUUUUCUUUCUUUUUGUUUCGUUAUUAAUCAUAUACAUAAGCAUAGAUAUAAAAUAAAGAAAAAGAAGGGAGAAGAGUUCAGGAACAUUACCUGGUUUGGUGCGUCGCCGAAUCCCCCUCCGUUCAGGCCAAGGUUGAAUAGGCGAGGGGGGCUUUCGUUGCUAAAGCGGCGCAGAGGGGUGGAGGUUGGUGUCUGUGUGUCGAUAGACUGGUUUUAGGGUUAGGAGGGGUCUUUUAUAGUGCGGAAAACGGCACCGUUUAGGGCCCGUUUCAGUGGCCCUAAAACGCGCCGUAUUUGUCGAUUAACCCCAGCAACCCGCGCGGUGACCCGACCCGAGGGAAGGAUCCGCGCGCUUUGGGUCUGAUGGGAUUAUUGCGCAACGAGCCCCUUUGCAUUUGCUUUCAUUUUAAUUCGAUUUUUAUUCGUUUUUUAAUUGUUACCUCAUAUUUAGUUCCAAUUGCAAUUAGAUCCAUGUUUGAACGGCAUCGUUUUCAUUGAUUGGGUUUGAAGGCCUGGUUUUGUGUGUCUAAAUUGCAGCAAUGGUCCCUCUGAUGUGCAAUGGUUCUCGAUUUGGUUGCCUUCACACUUAGUUCAAAGACGUCCUUGAGAUUUUGUUUUAUUUUUUAAAUUGUCCUUGUCUUCUUUUAAUUUAUAAUGCUAUUAUUAUUAUUAUUAUUAUUAUUAUUAUUAUUAUUAUUAUUGUUAUUAUUACUAUUAUUAAUAUAGGUAUUGUUAUCGUGUUGGUUUAUAUCUAUUUAUUUACUUUUACUUUACAUUAUUUUAUUUUAUUAUGUAUUAUUUUGUAAUGCUUUUAUCAUGUAUCAUUUUAUAAUUUUUUCUAUGUUAAUCUAGUAUGAUAUAUAUAUAUAUAUAUAUGUGUAUUUUUGUGAUCUUAUUUUAUAAUACUUUUUUUAACCCUUUUAUAUGCCUUUGCGUUUUAAAGAUUUAUAAUAUUUUGUGCAAUACUAUUAUAUAUAUAUAUAUAGAUAUACAAUUUAUAUUAGACCAUUUUUAUCGUACAUAUACGUAUAUAUAAUUUAUAUCUUGAAACCCUAUUUUAUUAUAUUUUUUGUAUUUCAACCUCUAUAUUCAUCAUUAUAUGUAUAUUAUUCUUUAUAUUAAACCUUCCAUUUCACAUAUAUAUUUUUAAAAAAUCAAUAUGUAUUAUUCUUUCUUCCUUGUUAUUUUUAUCUCUUAAAAUAGAUUGAUAAUUCAUUUAAUUUUUGAAUGUUGUAUGACCGAGGUUAUCGUUGUCAUUCUUGUUUAAAUUUAUUCAUUGCUUGUUCAUAUUAUUUGAUGAUUUAUCGUACACUAGCAUGUAUCGUAAUUUACGAAUUAUCAUUUUGAAUUAUGCACUACCAUUCAAUCGCAUUACAUUUGUUUGGAAAAACAUCGAAAUCGUUUUGCACAUAAACCUACAAAAUACGCAGUAUCCAAAAUUCUCGAGAGGAUUGUGCCCUAACUUACUGGGCUUCAAUUCUCCUUGUUGAAUUUAAAUAACCGAAUACCCCUUUUUCAAUUUGAACAUAAAAAUUCCAAAAUAAAAAGCUCAUUCUCGAGAAAUCGAUACGUAGUGUCCUAACGCAUUGGAUAUGACGUAUUGCUUUCUCGAGACGUGGAUUUUUCUAACAAAUAAAUAAAGGCAAUAUUUGGUGUUUAGAAAUUUUAAGAAAUUGAACCUUAACUUACUGAGUUUUGAUUUCUCGAUUGACUCAAAUAAUCAGAUAUCCUUCUCAAAAUGCAUAGGUUUAAAAAAAAUCAAGAGAUAAACUUAAUUUCGCGAAUUUAAAAUGUUACACUCUAACUUAUUGAGUGUGACAAUCUAUUUCCUUGAAAUAAAUGAGUUUCAUCCUCCGAUUCGUUUCAUUCAAAUUUUUUAUUUAAAAGGAUUGUAUUUUUAAAAUCUCUUCAAGAUUUCCACUCUAAGACAUUAAACAAUUAAUUUGGUACUAAUUUUGGGCGUCACGAGGGUGCUAACCCUUCCUCGUGCGUAACCGACUCCCGAACCUGUUUUCUAAAAAUUCGCAGACCUAAAAUUAUUUUCAAGGUGAUCCGAUCUCACCUCAAUAAAAGAUCGGUGGUGACUCCCAUUUUAAAAGCCGAUCCCCGAUUUUCCAAAAUAAAAAAUGGGUUUCGACAAUGAGAAUCAAUAGCCGAAUUAACACGAUUUGCUUUUUGAGAAAAAUUUUCAAACAAAAAAAAAAAAGAUUCCAAGUGGAGAAUUGAAAUGAACAUAAAUCGAAAGGCUAUGGAGAUUGAAACGAUACUUACCUUGAAGAGAAAGAAACUACGACGGAGCGGAAAAUUUCAGGCCUCCAAAAACCAGAAAAACAAAAAAGCUAUUCAUAGAAAUUUUGAGACUGGAAAUUAAUUUGCACGCCGCGGAAUUUUAUUAUUAGAAAAAAAACAACGAAACCCAAUAAAUGGUUUUUAAGCAAAUAGUUAAAAAUUUCAAAACUGAUAAAAUGAAGAAAAGAAAAACUGUCAAAACUGAUAAAAUGAAGGAAAUAUCAAAGAAGGAAAAAAUAAAUUACCUGAAAUAUGAGAACAGAAGGAGAGAAAGUUGUAGAUCUGUGGGAGAAGAUGAAGGAGAAGAUCUGAAAAAUGGCAAGAAAGUGAAGGAGAAGAUGAAGGAGGGCAGAGAUUGGAAAAUGGGAAAAAAA
rnacentral:lncRNA from 1 species